UCAUUCUGGUUGGCCAAUUGAUAAUCAUUCUAUUCUGUCCUGCAAUUUUUGAAAUCUUGUACGUGAUUUUGCUUUUCCUUUUAGAUACAUAUAAGGGGAGAGGGUGUUGGGGAUUGAUUUGAACGAUGCUUAUUAACCUCCUCCAUAUGAUUAUCUACCCAUUUAUGUCAUAUUUUUUUGUUGCACAUUAGACAAAAGGUAAGGACUCACCGUGCAAAUUAUUUCGCAAGGAGUUGUUGGGAACAUACUCAUAUAUCAGCAAUCUAUUGGCUCUGUCAACACAGUAUCCAAUUAGCUUUACUAGAUGUUGGUGAUGGGCCAGGUUAAGCGUCCCAACCUCCGUAAGAAAUUCUCUUUCCCCCUGCCGAGAUGAAAGACUAAGCUUCUUAAUUGCAACAACUUCACCGUUUGAAAGUGUUCCCUUAUAAACUUGACCAAAACCACCCUCGCCAAGGAGGUUGACGUUGGAGAAACCACCAGUUGCCAUUGCUAGUUCUUUAUAAGCAAAGAUUUUCUGUGGAGUAAUUUGUAUCCUCUCAACACCAAGUACAGAUUCUAGAUUAGUAGU
rnacentral:misc_RNA from 1 species